CCUACCACCAAGGCUAACCAGGGGCCGACGAAACCACAGGCUUCUAUAUUUGCGUUAGCAUGGCACACAGUACACAAGUAGUCAACCAAAUACCAGUAAAAUAGUCCUCACCAUAGCCCCGCUGCCACCAGAUGGCGCUAUUAUUCUUUACAUAUUUUGUCACCCACAGAGCAGCAUACCUAGGCAACCUUUCAGGCUUAUCUCUGCGCCUUCAGUUCCCUCAGGAGAAGUCUUCCCUCACUCCCCAUCCACCCCCAUGAAACAACACCUCUGAUAAGGGCGUCUAUGUGAUUUUUGCACUUGCGUAGGAGAGGAGACAGAGUGAUUCCAACGGCACUUGACACCCAGCGGGGCAAGGUGGUCACUUACCUGGAUGACUUUCAAGCAAAAGCAGAGGAAGUCUUUCUGGUUCAGUUGAGAAGAAUGAAGUUGGCUUACUCAAAGUUUAUCUUGACGCAAGACAAGAGUGGGGUUGUUUUCUGUCAUAACUUGUCUGUAGUUCACCGUUGCUGAAUUUAUUGAGUGCUUAAAUAUGUGAAGAGUUUAUUUCCAAAACUCCAUAUCCACCAAUUUUUCACAUUUGUGUUAUUUCAUCAGAAAUGAUUGCCAAUGGGUACCUUCAUGUGUGUGUAAAAUAUUACUGUUCUCAGAUGUUUUAUUUUGUCGAUUUUAUGAAUGUGUUUUUUUGCAAAACGCUAUAUAUCCAUUGUUUAGCUGGAUUGGAAUGUUCAUAUCCUGUAUAUUUGACUGUGAUGUUGUUGUCUCACAAAGCUAUCUUAAGGUGGAUUGCACUAACUGUAAGUCGCUCUGGAUAAGAGCAUCUGCUAAAUGACUUAAAUGUAAAAUGUUAAUGUUUUACAUACAGAUCUCAUAUUACUGAAUUGAAUUAUUAUUAUUAUUUUAUUAUCUUAUUUAUAUUGAUGUCACAAAUGUAUCAUUUGUACAGUUCUUUAUAAAAAAUGUAGUUAUUUGUUACAUUUGACUGUAAAACCUAGCAGUGCUACUUAUUUCUCUGAGAGGCAGAUAUACAGCAUUUUGCAAAAAAAAAUGGUUGAUUAUUUGUGUCUCUGGAAUUAAACCAUCAAGUGAUAGAUUUUAAACAAAUAUGUCUGUCAUUGAACAUGCCAUAAUAAAAAACACAG
ensembl:lncRNA